UCCAACCAAGUGCAGAGGACUUGGGCAGUGGAGUGAACUGUUCCAAAUGACCAAGAAUAAAUAUUUUGAAGCUAGAAAGUGGGAUCAGUGGUAUCUCAACAGGGGCACUUCAUCACAACUGACCAGUCCUAUCACUUCUACAUCCAAACACACUUAUGUCUCUGUUUCCACCUACUCCUCGUGCACUGGUCUCCAGACUAGCUCUCUACGCUUUAUUGUGUUUCAGCUGUAUCUCUUGCUUUCUUUCUUCUCAACUCCUCUGAAAUUGAUUGCUCCCAAGGGACAUAGAUUUCUUCACUGGCAUUACAUGUGCUCAAGUAUGUGUACAGUGACAGGAAUAAGAGAGGGAUUGAUUCAGAGAAGACAAGGGAAGUGGAGAAUAGUUCUGGAGAAGGCCCUGACUCCCACAAAAACAUCUGACACAGGAAGACAGACAGACAGAGAUCACCUUUAAUAGACAAGUCCUUAGGGAAGGCCCUGACUCCCACAAAAACAUCUGACACAGGAAGACAGACAGACAGAGAUCACCUUUAAUAGACAAGUCCUUAGGGCAAACCAACCAAAAUAUGUAGAGUACUUCAAUUUUUUUUCAAUGUUACUUCAAAUCAAUUUUUUUCUGACAAAUGGUUCAUAGGUACCGAGAUACUGGUAUAUAUUCAUUUUUAACAAAGAAAAAUGAUUUUUUGACUGUCUAUCAUACUUUCUAAAUAAGAUGGCUGUGUUCAUGGGAAGACCUAUAGAUGAAAGAAGCACCGUUAACAGUAAAUCAUAAAAAGUAAUGUCUAGAUUCUGAAGCUCUCAGAGAAGAGUCCAAUGUGCCAUAUAUGAAUGUUUGCAGUAGGUUUUCUGUGUAGUCUGUUACACACAAAGUAGAAUCCUACAUUUCUAUAACAGCAUGAAUUUAUUCUCAUUUCAUUGUUUCAAUUCACUUUAUAGUUAAACUAAAAAGCAUUUUUAUAAUUGGAGUGCAUAUCAGCCUAUACUCACAUAUCUGACUUUUUGCUGGCUUCACCAUUUCUUAGAGCAGGAGAAAAAAAUUUUCCUAUUUCUACAAUACUGUAAACCCAAGGAACCCUAAAAGGAAAGCAUAUAAAAUUAUAAAACCAAAAGAAGGAUAAAUAUCACAUAACUUCCCACAUGUAUUGAACAUAAAGAGGAACUAAUAGAUGAGUUUACCAAGAAAAAUGAAAAUGUUUUUGGCAUAUUCCAAUUCCAAAUAACAUAUGUUUCCAGAAAAAAAUUAAUUCCACAAACUAGUAUAUUAACUGCCACCUGUCUUUAAUAGCCUAUUUUAACUUUUUCUGUGGGAAACUCUUUAUUGCAUUAAUGAACUUCAUCAAGUAUUUCAAAAAACAGUUGCCCCACUUUGCCUCCUGAAUAAGUCUCCCUGUGGUCAAUUAUUGUUCCUAGUUCUUCAUUUCUUUCCUAUAAUGAUAUUACACAUCAUUUCCUUUGCUACAUGACUUCACAGAGACCCCAGCAUGUCAAUAAACUAAAUUACCACAUUGUUUUUUGGCUUAACCACGUGUCUUUCUCUACCUAAUAGAAAGUUAAUGGGUAUGAUGCAAACGAAGAUGUAAAUGUGCUUGCAUAAUGUGGCUUGACUGUUGUGUUUCUGCCAUCUGUCAUGACAAAAUUAUGUGUUGGGAAGCUCCUGAUCCCAGAAUGAGAGAUACAUGGAAGAGUUCCAAAUGCUGCUAUCAGCCUGAAGCAGGUAUGAGGGAAUUAAAAAAGAAAAAUAAAUAUUGUAAACCACGAAGAUUUGGGAGUUGUUUGUUACAUAGGUUUUGCAGCCAAAACUGACUGAUACAUUCCUUCUGUAUCAGUUACCAAUUGCCACAAUCUAACAAAGCAACACAAAAUUUGUCACUUAUAACAACAACCACUUGUUUUUACUAAUAACACUAAAAUCAGUUGGAUAGUUCUGGUCUCCAAUGGGUUCAAUGAAACUUAUUAACACAUUUGUAGUCAGCUUUAAGCCAGUUAGGAACAUCUUCUGACCUUGGCUAGACUCCUCAACCUAUCUGAGAGCUUGGAUGAGACAGAUGGGCAUACUCAGCUCUGCCUCACAAGGUCUCUCAUCCUCCAGCAAAUUAGGCUUGUUCUGAGUACUCAAGGUAUCCUGACACCUACACUUUGAACUUCUUCAUGAGGCCACUGUCACUUCUGCUGCAUUCUACUGACCAAAGCAGGUUAUAAAGCCACCCAGAUUCAAAGUAGAAGACACCAACUCCACCUCUCAAGGAAAGAACUGCAUUCACAUUGAAGAGGGUAUAGAUACAGGGAAGGUAGAACUUAAGAAAUAACCAAAUUAAAAGCUAGAGCUCAUCUAGGUACUGCCUGUCGUUUUUAUUAGGUGAACCAAACAAGCUAUAAACACAAACUGUGCACACAGAGGUAUUCAAUAUAUUGCACUGGAGAUGGUGAGACCAAAAAAACUGAAUAAUUUUUGUGCCCAUAAAAUACAAUUAUGCUGACAGUGAUGGGACCUAGUACUUUUGACAAAGCCACCUUCCUUUAAGCAUUUAAUAGUACUUAACAUUGAUUCCUCCUCUAUUUUGCAUUCCUUCAACAGUCUUGUAUUCUGUUCAUUCUGAAUAAUAUUUUGCAUUUAAUGCGAAUGCUUUAUUUUUCAUUUUCACUUAUACUCCCCAAAGUAGAUGAUAUAGAUUGAUUGUAAUGUGAUUUUUAAGUCUUAUGAACAUAACUCCAUAUUCUCUGUUAAGCCACUUCCAAUUAGGGUUCCUGUUCCUAUGGAGCUUACAAACUAUUGUUUAUGUAUCCUCCUACCCACUAUGCCUUGCUUAAAAUUCUAAAUUCAGUUGGCUUUAGAUUGAGGAAAAGGUGAUCCCUGCACCCAGUUUUCCUCCCGUCCCUUUCAUUUCAAGAGUCAUAAAAUUUUAUAAUAUUUUAUAGUAAUUAAAUAAAUAAAAACAAGAAAAUGCAAAUAAAACUCAGGAAGCACCAAACAAAGUGCUGGACACAGGGAUUUGCCAAGUAAAGCAUCCAUUUUGGAACAUCUCAGUGGUUUUCCAGAACUUUACCCAUAUCUGGCUAAAUGAGAGCUACCCAAAAAAUCAAGUGGUAUGCAAAACAAUUAUUCACCUAUAAUCUGAGAUUUUAAUUAAUGUACUUCAUAAGGCACAGAAAAAUAUACUCAAGCCUUUAAACUGAUGAAAAAAUGGCAUCAAGAAAGCUGACUAAAACUAGAGACCACUAUGUGCUUUCAAAGAAGUCAGAUCAAACACUAGUUUGCAAAAUUUGUAAGGAUUAGAGGGAGCAGUGAAAUAAUCUUUGUAACAAGAAGAUCGCUGAACCGUUAGAAAACCAAAAGGCACUUUCUAAAGCAGUACUUUGAUAUAACCUCCUCUCUUGGGAAGGUUAGUAGUAAUUCAUCUCUGAGCAGUUAGCAAUGGUAUGCAGAGCUGGCCCUCUGAGACACACUCUUACCCCUCACUGAUUUGCCCUCAGGUCUAUAGAUCUAAUGGCUCCCCAGGUUCCCUGAAAAGUGGCACUUGACACAUUGGAACUGUGACUUUGCUGUGUAUGAAGUGGCCUAUGCAUAUCACCUUUCCUCUCCUAAUCUCAUCACUAAGCAGGCUCAACACAAUUGUUCUAAGUGCUUUUAUGACAGAGGGGGGUAAAGAGAAGACUCCAUGAAUGGAUGGAAGAAUAAAGGAAGAAAAAAGAGGAAUAUUCUUAAUCACACCCCCACCCAACCCAGUUCUUCUCCCUCCAGGACUGAGCUACAAUCAUGCUUAUUCAGUGACCCCCAGGAUUCUUAGGCAUUGUGAAAUCAAAUGCUUCAGUAGGCAACAUAAAUAAACGAAGUGGGCCAAAUGGGUCUGGUGGGCUUCUUGAAGGUCCAUGCCCUAUGUAAAAGGGAUAGUCACUGCUCAGUUCCAUCUGACUGUUGCCAGGAAUGUAAAACCCCAAGACAUUCGGGACGCAAAAUAAAGGCAUAGUUAAGAGAUGUUGGAAAUAGAAACUUUUAUGUGAAUUCUUUACUUUUUAAAAUGUUAACAAGAGCAGUAGGGUGGAUGAGCAACUUGGAUCCCCAAUUUGCAAUAUACACUUUAGGAGUGUGCUUCUCAAAGUGUGGUCCACAAAUCGGCACCUGUCCACAAACUGUUUGUUCCAAUCUACAGCAACAUAGAAAGCCAACAUUAAACACAUUUUAGUUCAGCUGACAUCUUUUCCAUAGUGAGAUUUUCCUUAUAGAGGACAUAGGGCACUAAUUUACAUUCUGGCCAAGCUCCUUAUCUCAUUGUGGAUGACAUUUUGGGGAGCACUACUCUAGAGAGGAACUUUCAGGGACCCUUCUUACAGUGCUAUCUCAGAGAAUUGAGGAUCAGUACCUUGGCUCCUUGAGGCCCAGUAUCCUAUGAAGAAUGGAAAUGGGAAGAGAGAGAACUCCAGUAGGGUCUGGAAAGUUGCUUGCAGAAGGCCCCAGACUAAACCAGGGCAGUAGGACCUGGCUGUACUGCAGUGGAGCUGAGUGUAUGGGUAAGGANNNNNNNNNNNNNNNNNNNNNNNNNNNNNNNNNNCUUUCCCCUCUCCCAACAUACCCAAUAUCUCUGCUCUCUCAGGUACCUAUGAGUUUGGGGCUCAUUUUUGGUCAAGAUAUAUUACACAUCAUGGAUGUUCUUUCUAGUAGAACUUGUUCAUUUGUUCAUUGUCUAUUUCCUCAACACUGCCACCCCCUCCCCACCCCACCACAGAUUACAACCUCUAAGAGGAUCGGGUAUCUAGACCAGUGUCUAGUGCAUAGUAGAUACUCAGCAAAAUAUCAGAUGAAUGAAUAAUGUUAUAGUAAAAGUAUAUAAAACAGGUGUACAUAUUAAGCUAAUUAAAUAGAUGAAACAAAAAUUUAAAAAAAAAUGUUUCCAGAAGCUGACGUGUACCUUUCUCGGGAACUGUUGAGUAUACCUUGUUUGUAUAUCCAGGUCAAAAAAGCUAUUCAAAGAUCAUGGAAUAUGGUAUAGGGAAUGCUUGAAGGUUAAGAACCUU
rnacentral:lncRNA from 1 species